UACGUAGGGCGCAAGCGUUGUCCGGAAUUAUUGGGCGUAAAGAGCUCGUAGGCGGCCUGUCGCGUCUGCUGUGAAAUCCCGGGGCUCAACCCCGGGCCUGCAGUGGAUACGGGCUGGCUGGAGGCAGGCAGGGGAGAAUGGAAUUCCCGGUGUAGCGGUGAAAUGCGCAGAUAUCGGGAGGAACACCGGUGGCGAAGGCGGUUCUCUGGGCCUGUUCUGACGCUGAGGAGCGAAAGCGUGGGGAGCGAACAGG
rnacentral:rRNA from 1 species